AGGAAUUCUCCUGCCUCAUCCUCCACGUAGCUGGGAUUACAGAUAAACUCAGAUCCCUCUACUUUCCAAGUGUGAGAAGAUUUUGUUCUACAGUCGCUUCUGUGAGAUCACCACAGCCCUGGCAAACCAAGAGGGAGGAACCUUGUGCCUUUGAAGUGUGAUUCACAGUGCUUGAUAAAGUGCCAGUAUUCUCUAAAUUUUAGGUUCACAGCAAAUUGGAUGGAAGUUACAGAAAUUCUUCUAUUUUUAAUUUUAAACUAACAUACGACAAAAGGAUUUCCUGAUUUAUCCACCAUUUCAAAAAAAGGUCCGAAGAAAAUGAAGGAGCCUCUUCCUGUACUCAUGGUACAUAAGGUAACAGAAACCACAGAAAUCAAAACCGUGGAUAAGAGGAGACUACAGAAAGAUUUCUCCUUCUGGAGUACAUGAAUCAAAUUGCAUUGAAUCAAAAGUUUUGUGAAGAUUUGAGAUGAGAAUGAGAGCCAAAUAAGCCAUAUCAUAAGAAGCUGUGAUCAGAAAUAAAAUGAGGACAAUGCUUACUGUGGCUUUCAAGGCAGGAGAAAGCACACCCGAGGGGGUCGUGUCCCACACUAGGCAGAUCUAAUGGUGCCACAAAAGACAGGUGUUUUGUCAGAUUUCAGCCACACACUUUCACACCUGCAACGCAUUAACUACCGCAGCAAUGUUAAUGAAGACCAGGUGCCUGUUCUCCAGCAUAAAUGAGGAACUGGCAGGAGAUUUGCUGUUUGCUACCUGACGUCUACCCCUGAGUCUCUGAACCCCGUCCUUCUGGUUGAAGGGGAAGGUGUAGUGAUGUACAAAAAAUGAUUCCUGUUGGACAUUCAACACGAUACUCCAAUGUACUUUGAACACGUCAUGUUCUGUGAAGGUAAAAAUGGGCAGUGACUGCUGUCUCUGUGUACUUCGGAACAUUUCUUUCUGAGCCUAUAAAGUGUUUGGCUGGCAUGCAGGGGCCUGAGGAAGCUUAAGGAGAAACCUCGUCCCAUGACACAUAAUCCUACCACACCCUGAAAUGGAUAGAUGGUUGGGUCAUGCCAGUGUGCACACACAGACUGGUAAGUGGAAGAUUAGCCAGAAUUGUGAAAGAUGCUACCAUACAGCCACCCAGUUCUGCCAAAGGAGAAGGUCACUUGCCAACGGCAAAUGUAAAUGGCCAUGAAUAUCCUGUUCUCUUUCUGUCAAAGUUGGUUCUGAGCACUGAGGGGAGAGACAGAAUUAAAAGUAGACACAGCAGCGAGUAAAGCUAUCUCUGUCUAAUGGAGUGUCUGUAUUUUUGGGUACAUGAUUUUUCUAUACCUGAGAUGAAUAAUUCAUUCUCAAGGAACCCCAAAGCAAAAGUUUAAAGAUGAUUAAAAAAUAACUUUGGCUUCUGAUCUUCUGAUAACUGGGAACUCUGUGAUAGAGACAUAGAAAACUAUUAGGAAUUAAAACCAAAACAAGACCGGGCUUUAGGGAUUCCCCUCACACUAUUAUACUGUCAUGGAAGGCUCAGGAUAACCAGGCUAGCCGUACAUAAAGUAAUUAAUAAAGUAGGUCAAUUACAAAGCUAGAAGAGUUUUAUUUAGCGUGAUAUUGAUCACAUCUUGAAUCAUCUCCCUGAAUCUCCGUAUUUUUCUUUUUUAUUAAAAACAGAAUAGCGUUCUUGAAGAAUUGUUUUAUCUACACUUCUGUAAUUGUUCUCUAAACAGAGAAUUGUUUAGAAGGACCAGUUCCCUAGCAAUAUAUGACCUUUCUAACUAUACUUCAUGUCAUCUCAUGCAGGCCCUAUCUUCUGUAAAAUUAGGCCUCCAUUGUGUUUCUCACUCAAGAUUCUUCUUUAUUA